GUAAAAGAAAUGGACACAGCGACCCAAUUGGAACUCAAUUGAGACAAGUGAAGCCCAUUUUUAGCGAUUUUUAGAACUUCCGUUUCUGUACGGGCAGAACUAAGCUUAGAUGACGUCAGCAACCUGACAGAUGUAAAUCUUCUAGUAGCUGUGCGUGCAAACUGCCAUCGUUAAUCUUGCAGAGACGGCGAACUUGAGCGGGUAGUUCUUGGCGUGAGUCACACACACAUGACAUCUUUAAUGAUAUACUCUGAUCAGAGUACCCAUGCACAGUAACUUGGUUGGGCAACCACAUCAUUUCAUUAUGUCUUGCUGGAUAACUCUCUGUAUGUCACAAAUUAUCUUUGUAUUCUUCUAUGUUAACAAAAAGAUCACCUAAUGUUGUUUGUCAUGUUUUACAGCAUUCUACACAUUUUCAGUCCAAGCCUGAUGCAGGGCAGUUCUCCUGGGUUAAGGGGUCCCUGCUGCAGUUUCACCAGUAAAGAAAAUUACUUGUUACAGUUCACUUGAAGGACCACAUAAGCCAUGCAGUGGUGCAUGGAGGAGCGCCAAGAGGACAUAAAGUGGAAGUUUGUAAGGGACAUUGGUCCAGCGUGGUACAGAGUCAUCGUGGGUUAUUCUGUGGGGAGGUGACAGGGCCUGCCUUUCUCCAGAUGGACAGUAAAAAUCAACAGAAUGCCAUCAAAGACUACCUGGAGGGAGAAUCGGAGGAUAUAUUGAAGCAAGGAAUCUCUCUGUGUAGUCUAUGUAUGUAUGUGUGUGUACUGCAUGUCAAGAACUGUUUAUCUGAUCAUUCAGCUGCUCAGACUUUAUAAUAUUUGGAGCAUACCUUUUGUUAAACACAACCAGUCAAAAGUUUUUGAACAGUGACAUUUUUUAAUGUUUUUAAAGAAAUAUCUUCUGCUCAUCAAGCCUGCAUUUAUUUAAUCCGAAGUACAGCAAAAACAGUCCAAUUUUAAAAUAUGUGUAUAAUAUUUUGCUUUUGUAAUAUAUUUUGCUAUUUAAAAUAACAAUGUUCUAUAUUUCUAUUAAAAUGAAAUUUAUUCCUGUGAUUUCAAAGGUGACUUACUAUAGUCACAUGAUCCUUCAUUCUAAUAUGCUGAUUUGAUGCUCAAAAAACAUUUUAUUAUUAUUAUGUUAAUACACUGAAGACUGGAGUAACGAUGCAGACAAUUCAGCUUUGAUCACAGGAAUAAACUGCAUUUUAAAAUACAUUCAAAUAGAAAGCAGUUCUUUUAAAUUGUAAAAAUAUUUCACAUUACUGUUUUUGCUGUGUUUUGAAUCAAAUAAAUCCUGGUGAGCAGAAGAGACUUUAAAAAAUAAUAAAAAUCUUACUGUUCAAAAACUGGUGGUGUAUAUUAUUAUUAUUAUUAUUAUUAUUAUUUAUUAUAUUUUUUUUUUUUUGUAAAAUUGUACAUGUAAUAUUUUUGUAAAAUAUAAAUAUAAAAAUACCCAAUGAAACAAUGGAUGCCUUUUUCAUUCAUCUUUAAGUAUGUGGAGGACCUGGACAUGUUUCAUAUCAAGUUGUGAUGAACAAGGCCUGAAGGUCAAUGUCAUGUUACUUAUAUAAUCUAUCAAUGCAAUCUUUAUUCAGCCUAAGUAUGUGUAGCCUACUGCAUAUGGGGAACUGUUGAUUCUAUCAUUCAAAUGUUAACACUUUAUGAUAAGUGGAAUAAAUCUUUAGAAAAUUAAAUGACAAUUAUACAAUACCAACUUUUACAAUAAAUUUGCAUACUUUUACAAUACCAAAAUCUAAUUGUCCCCUUUAAAUUUGAUGCAUUUUAAUUUUGCCUUGGGUAGGUCAAAAUCGUUUUUUAAUAAAUGUGAAUUUAUCUCAUUACAUAAAUGAACAAGGUAAGGUUUAAAAGUUUUAAUUGACAAUUAGCCUACUUUAAUCAACAUAAGCGUUUUAGGAGCUGUUAUGAUGACGAAAUCAGCUCCGUAUAUUAGACAUAUUAAAUAUAUAUUAGAUUUAAGUUGUGCCAUUUUAGCCUAGACAUCCUUUACAAAAAUAAGAAAACGUGUAUUAGUAAAACGAAGGACAAUAUUAUUUUAUUUAGAUCCCAUUAACUUCCAUAAAUUGCUUCAACAUACUU
rnacentral:lncRNA from 1 species